AACGCCGGGAAAGCAGAUUCCCUUAAUGCACAGGUCAUCUGAAUUGCACCCCGGCUCGGAGGCGCGCAGACCUCUCUGCUCUGUGCUAUGUGACACCUCCUUGUCACCGGGGUCACCACCGCAGGCACGUCCCGGCAGCUGAUGCCAUUUGUGCUGAGAUACACAUGGAAAUUUUUGGUUAACCUGGAACCUUAAGGAAAACAUCAAACCUGGUGAGGCUCACGUAAACGCACCCUUUGUCUAUGGCAACGAAUUUGAGAAGAAACAAAAAUGGCUGGUUAAAAAGAAGAAAAAAAUACUUCAGUCACCCCAACAAAGGCGAGGAGUUUACAAACCUUCCCCGUCAGCGCCUGGACGCAGGCAAAGUACUUACUUCAUUAAGUUGAAACAAAACUCGGCCAGUAAAACCGUCAGCUCCAUCCGAGACAACUGCGGGCCCCUUGCAGCACGUUCCCGACUGACCAUCAGCAGACUAUGGAAAUUGCUUUUUCUGCCAAACAAUCGUGGGGAUAAAUGCCCUCCUUUAUCUGUGGGGCUAUUUCUAAACUCCCCUUUCUCAGUGACAGGACAUUCAUGGGCUGCAAUCUGAUUUUGUUGCUUCUCAGUAUUAGUGGGAAAAGCACAUUCUGGGCUCUCCUGCUGGCACGGAUUCCUCCCUCUCCCCCCGCCCUGUGCAUUAACUGUGAGCAUGGGUGUGUGUAACCACACAUCCUCACAAUCAAACUUGGGAGGUGAGGAUGUUGUUUGCCUGGGUUAUAAAAUGAUUCUGUGCUUCAGAUAACGCCGAGGCUCUUGAGGUUCAAAGAGACCGAGAUUGGAGCGCUCCCACAAUGUCAAGCAAUUCAAAAUCACUGGAGUGCUGCAAGGACUUUAUGUACACUUGACUUUGGGAGUAGACCUGUGCACAAUCACUGUGGCACUCCCAAUUCCUUUUUUUCUGAUUUAUUUCACAGGUGCAGUGUACCACAGACCAUCCCAGCCACUUGCUGCACCCACCUCAAGAGCAGCUCCUGAUCCUCACAUCAAUGCAGACUUUUAAUGCCCUGCCCUGCUCACUUUGGAAGAAAGGCUUCUCCCAUUUAACAGAAAUUUCUUCCUUUUGAAGAUAUUAAGGCCCUGGUACAGGUUAUCCAGAGGCCCUGUGGCUGCCCCAUCCCUGGAUGUGUCCAAGGCCAGGCUGGACAGGGCCAACCUGGGAUAAUGGAAAGUGUCCCUGCCCAUGGCAGGGGUGGAAUAGGAUGGGUUUUAAGAUCUCUUCCACUCCAAACCAUUCUGGGAUUCUAGGAUUUUACGGAACACACUUUACUGGGAAGGUCCUGCACAUAGGUAUUAAAGAAUUUGGAGGGUAAACACCAAGCCCCAAGAAAGUCAAGUGCUUGUAAGAGUACAAAGUAAGAGCUCAGUGAUCUCCAUCACCUUCCUCCAGCAAGAUGGAAGUUGUUCCCUUCCUUCUGAGAACAACUACAGCGACCAGAACAAAGUGUUGAUUUGACCUAACAAGCAGAAUUUUCCUUCUUUUCCUACUUUUUAACUACAAAACAUUUUCCCUUGCAAUGCCUACUCUUUUGCCUCUUCCUGCUCUGCAGGAGCACUGUGUUCAAAAAGCAUCCCUGGUCAGUUCUGCCUGGAAAGCCUAGAAAGGUGCAACCUCCUGCUACAAAAUUAAAGGCAAAUCCUCCUCCUUAAAAACACCUAGAAGUUUCACUUUAAAUAUUGAUUUCAUGUUCAUCUGGCAGUAUUUGCCCCAUCAUCCUUCGCUGGGUGCUUCAGCAGAAACACAACUUUUAUAACUAUCCAUUACUCUUGCAAAUAUUCAUGGAUGCAAUUCCCUUUCCACCCACUGGUGCAGUUGUCUGGUUUCCCCAGCCAGUGCAUCCCCAGCCAUCUGCUCUAUGCUUUAAUUUUAAACCUUAACCUAAGAGUAAAUGGGUGCUUCCUGGGAUAAAAUAAUU